GCAGUCGAGCGGAUGAGAGGAGCUUGCUCCUCGAUUCAGCGGCGGACGGGUGAGUAAUGCCUAGGAAUCUGCCUAGUAGUGGGGGACANCGUUUCGAAAGGAACGCUAAUACCGCAUACGUCCUACGGGAGAAAGUGGGGGAUCUUCGGACCUCACGCUAUUAGAUGAGCCUAGGUCGGAUUAGCUAGUUGGUAGGGUAAAGGCCUACCAAGGCGACGAUCCGUAACUGGUCUGAGAGGAUGAUCAGUCACACUGGAACUGAGACACGGUCCAGACUCCUACGGGAGGCAGCAGUGGGGAAUAUUGGACAAUGGGCGAAAGCCUGAUCCAGCCAUGCCGCGUGUGUGAAGAAGGCCCUCGGGUCGUAAAGCACUUUAAGUUGGGAGGAAGGGCUUACAGCGAAUACCUGUGAGUUUUGACGUUACCGACAGAAUAAGCACCGGCUAACUUCGUGCCAGCAGCCGCGGUAAUACGAAGGGUGCAAGCGUUAAUCGGAAUUACUGGGCGUAAAGCGCGCGUAGGUGGCUUGAUAAGUUGGAUGUGAAAUCCCCGGGCUCAACCUGGGAACUGCAUCCAAAACUGUCUGGCUAGAGUGCGGUAGAGGGUAGUGGAAUUUCCAGUGUAGCGGUGAAAUGCGUAGAUAUUGGAAGGAACACCAGUGGCGAAGGCGACUACCUGGACUGACACUGACACUGAGGUGCG
rnacentral:rRNA from 1 species